GGUUGAUUCGGCAACCCAUAUACUAAAAUUGGAACCAUAUGGAAAGGAUGAGCAUGGCCCCUGGGCAAGAAUGAUGUGCAAGUUCGUGAAGCGUUCCAUAUUUUU